rnacentral:rRNA from 1 species
AUUGAACGCUGGCGGCAUGCCUUACACAUGCAAGUCGAACGGCAGCACGGGUGCUUGCACCUGGUGGCGAGUGGCGAACGGGUGAGUAAUACAUCGGAACAUGUCCUGUAGUGGGGGAUAGCCCGGCGAAAGCCGGAUUAAUACCGCAUACGAUCUACGGAUGAAAGCGGGGGACCUUCGGGCCUCGCGCUAUAGGGUUGUCCGAUGGCUGAUUAGCUAGUUGGUGGGGUAAAGGCCUACCAAGGCGACGAUCAGUAGCUGGUCUGAGAGGACGACCAGCCACACUGGGACUGAGACACGGCUCAGACUCCUACGGGAGGCAGCAGUGGGGAAUUUUGGACAAUGGGCGAAAGCCUGAUCCAGCAAUGCCGCGUGUGUGAAGAAGGCCUUCGGGUUGUAAAGCACUUUUGUCCGGAAAGAAAUCCUUGGCCCUAAUACGGUCGGGGGAUGACGGUACCGGAAGAAUAAGCACCGGCUAACUACGUG